rnacentral:rRNA from 1 species
AUUGAACGCUGGCGGCAGGCCUAACACCUGCAAGUCGAACGAGUGGCGGACGGGUGAGUAAUGUCUGGGAAACUGCCUGAUGGAGGGGGAUAACUACUGGAAACGGUAGCUAAUACCGCAUACCAUCGGAUUUGCCCAGAUGGGAUUAGCUAGUAGGUGGGGUACCGGCUCACCUAGGCGACGAUCCCUAGCUGGUCUGAGAGGAUGACCAGCCAAACGGGAACUGAGACACGGGCCAGACUCCUACGGGAGGCAGCAGUGGGGAAUAUUGCACAAUGGGCGCAAGCCUGAUGCAGCCAUGCCGCGUGGAUGAAGAAGGCCUUCGGGUUGUAAAGUACUUUCAGCGGGGAGGCGUUACCCGCAGAAGAAGCACCGGCUAACUCCGUGCCAGCAGCCGCGGUAAUUC